UACGGAGGGGGCGAGCGUUGUUCGGAAUUACUGGGCGUAAAGCGUGCGCAGGCGGCUUGACAAGUCUGAUGUGAAAGCCUUGGGCUCAACCCCGGAAGUGCAUUGGAAACUGUGCUGCUUGAGUACGGGAGAGGAUGGUGGAAUUCCCGGUGUAGAGGUGAAAUUCGUAGAGAUUGGGAAGAACACCCGUGGCGAAGGCGGCUAUCUGGACGGUAACUGACGCUGAGACGCGAAAGCGUGGGGAGCAAACAGG
rnacentral:rRNA from 1 species